UUUGAUGUUCUAACGUGGACCCGUGAUCCGGGUUGCGGACAGUGUCUGGUGGGUAGUUUGACUGGGGCGGUCUCCUCCUAAAGAGUAACGGAGGAGCACGAAGGUUGGCUAAUCCUGGUCGGACAUCAGGAGGUUAGUGCAAUGGCAUAAGCCAGCUUGACUGCGAGCGUGACGGCGCGAGCAGGUGCGAAAGCAGGUCAUAGUGAUCCGGUGGUUCUGAAUGGAAGGGCCAUCGCUCAACGGAUAAAAGGUACUCCGGGGAUAACAGGCUGAUACCGCCCAAGAGUUCAUAUCGACGGCGGUGUUUGGCACCUCGAUGUCGGCUCAUCACAUCCUGGGGCUGAAGUAGGUCCCAAGGGUAUGGCUGUUCGCCAUUUAAAGUGGUACGCGAGCUGGGUUUAGAACGUCGUGAGACAGUUC
rnacentral:rRNA from 1 species